GAGGCUGAGAAUCGCCCAUUUCAGAAUGAAUCACCGCCUAGAUUUCCUCAACCCCACCUCGCUCUCUUCCGCACCAAAAUCCCAAACAAAAUAUCCCCAACCUUCUACUCUUUCCCCACGAAAACCCAUAAAUCCAAUCCUCCGACUCCGACUCCGACUCCAACUCCAUGGCCGCGUCUUCCUUCGUGGAAGCCACCCCGUUGAAAUGGAAGCAAACCUUCCCAUUUCAGCUCCCCCUCCUCAUCUACUCCCAACCAGCACCACCUCCUUCACCAGACCCAUUAAAUUUGGCAGCGGAAUCUUGUAUUUAAAGCUCCAAGGCUCCCCUAGAUAUAGCGUUAAAUGCUUCCUUGUCGCGAAGAAUAAGCAUUUAACUGACCGGGACUUUGACAAUUCUGUCUCGCUUUAUAAUGAAAACUGCCGGAAUCCGUUUGAAAUUAUUGCAAAUUCUGUAUAUAACAUCAUAAAGGCAUUGAGAAAACCCGCGAUUGCCGCGGUGCUGUUGGGGUUGCUAUUAAUGUACGAUCCCAAUUCAGCGUUGGCGGCCUCUGGAGGUCGAAUGGGUGGGAGGUCGUUUUCCUCGCGGUCUUCAUCCUCUUCUUCGUCGUCGAGGAGUUAUUCCGUGCCGAAGACGUCGAGCCCGGGGUAUUCUUACACGGUGCCGUAUUAUGCGCCAUCACCUUUCGGUUUUAGCGGUGGCGGCGGCGGAUUCUACGUGGGGCCGGCUGUCGGGGUCGGCGUGGGAGGUGCGUCGAGUUUCUUUUUGAUUCUAAUGGGUUUCGCGGCGUUUGUCUUGGUUUCGGGGUUUCUUUCGGAUCGGUCGGAUGGUGGUGUUCUUACUGCUACCGAGAAGACAAGUGUGUUGAAGCUUCAGGCUGGAUUGUUGGGCUUGGGGCGGUCACUCCAAAGAGAUCUUAAUCGGAUUGCUGAAACUGCAGAUACAUCUAGCUCUGGGGUUUGAGCUAUGUGUUGACAGAGACAACGCUAGCUUUGCUUCGGCAUCCUGAUUAUUGUAUCUCAGGUUAUUCAUCUGUGGAUUUAAAGAAGGGCAUGGAGGAUGGAGAGAAACGCUUUAAUCAACUUUCUAUUGAAGAACGGGGUAAAUUUGAUGAGGAAACACUUGUCAACGUGAACAACAUUAAAAAGCAAAGCACAGCCAGUCAGAGAUCUAAUGGAUUCAGCAAUGAGUACAUAGUGAUAACAAUCUUGGUGGCUGCUGAAGGAGUACAUAAGCUGCCCGCCAUCAAUGGCAGUGGGGACUUGAAAGAAGCCUUGCAAAAGCUUGGAUCCAUUCCCUCGAGCAAGAUAUUAGCAGUUGAGGUAUUGUGGACCCCUCAGAAUGAAAAUGACACGUUGUCGGAGCGGGAACUUCUCGAGGAUUAUCCACUUUUGAGGCCUCUGUAAUAGUAUUUCAACGGACUACCUUUUCCCAUGCAGGAAGAGGUAUGAGCUGAACUGCUCAUUGGAUUUAAAAUGACAUUUGAGUAAGAAAAAAUUGUCUAUAGUCCACAGAAAUGAUAUUUGUCUCAUCUCAUAUUUGAUAAGAUAGUUUCUUAAUGUACUGAAUUUGUAAGCUUUUAGGAACUGGUCUGUAUAUUUUACAUUAAAGCCUCAGCUUUCUUUCACCCAAUUGUUCAUUCUGCCAUCCAUUUGAGUUGUAAAGGUGGACGUUGGUAUUUUCACUUUAUAAUAUAUACCAUGAAUGAUGUUUUUAAUCUUGACAGAGAUGUAUAUUAUUUCUGAGCAUCAUUAUUUUCCUUCUCUA